UACGUAGGGUGCGAGCGUUAAUCGGAAUUACUGGGCGUAAAGCGUGCGCAGGCGGUUUGUUAAGACAGGCGUGAAAUCCCCGGGCUCAACCUGGGAACUGCGCUUGUGACUGGCAGGCUAGAGUACGGCAGAGGGGGGUGGAAUUCCACGUGUAGCAGUGAAAUGCGUAGAGAUGUGGAGGAACACCGAUGGCGAAGGCAGCCCCCUGGGCCGAUACUGACGCUCAUGCACGAAAGCGUGGGGAGCAAACAGG
rnacentral:rRNA from 1 species